rnacentral:rRNA from 1 species
UACGUAGGUGGCAAGCGUUGUCCGGAUUUACUGGGCGUAAAGAGCGCGCAGGCGGUCGUUCAAGUCGCGUGUGAAAGCCACCGGCUCAACUGGGGAGGGUCACGCGAUACUGAUCGACUCGAAGGCAGGAGAGGGUAGUGGAAUUCCCGGUGUAGUGGUGAAAUGCGUAGAUAUCGGGAGGAACACCAGUGGCGAAGGCGACUACCUGGCCUGUUUCUUGACGCUGAGGCGCGAAAGCUAGGGGAGCAAACGGG